UUUUGCUAACCUAACCUAACCUAUAUAUGUGUGUGAUGUCUCUUAUGCCUUCCUAAACCGUUCAUCCGAUCGCCACGAAACUGAAAAAUGUAUCAGAUAUUUUUCAUUGCUUAGCAACCGUAUACCUAAUUUAUAUAAGUUUGAAAAUAAAAAUAAAUUUAAGGGCAACAACGGUUAACUGCAGUAAUAGUGACGGAUAUUGAAACAAGAAAUCUAGGGGGG